AUGGUCAAGCUGGCAAUAACAUCAAUAAUGGAAGCAGAAACAGGAUAUUCUGAAGAAAUCUUGGAAAUAUGCUCUUCAUAUUCCAUUGAUGAUCAAAUCCUGUGUAUUUUGUCCACCCAUCAUUACAUCAUGCUGGGGUAUGCUUUUGGCCAGUGUUAUCAACCAGCGGCAUCAUGGCCGCUAUGGCGGAUAUACAUGGCGGUUUUUAGCCUCGCCGCAAUGGUAAAUAUCGGUCAAUAUUGCAGGUUUUUCCGCCAUAAUCUGCUAUAG